GUCCAGGAAGAAGUGUUCAAGUAGAGACACUCAUCAUUUUGGUGUCAAUAUAAUGCCAAGUCAAGACCAGAGCUCUCAUGGUUAUGCCAUGACUCAUUCUGUAGGUAAUGCUUUUGUUGCUGGGAAUUGAACCCAGAGACUCCUGUGUGAUAAUUGUGUGCUCUACUAUUGAGUCCCACAACCAGCCUACAGCUCUGAUGAAUGAUGAAUUAUGUCCAGAGAUCCAUGUUCAAGACCUGGCUCUGUCAUGUACUGAAUUCAAUGAAUUUUCUCAUCAUUCCUAA
rnacentral:lncRNA from 1 species